GUGCUCGCUUCAGCAGCACAUAUACUAAAAUUGGAAUGAUACAGAGAAGAUUAGCAUGGCUCUUGUGCAAGGAUGAUGUGCAAAUUCAUGAAGCAUUCCAUAUUUUU
rnacentral:snRNA from 1 species